rnacentral:rRNA from 1 species
UCGAGGGCUUUACUGUCUCUUACUUCCAAUCCGUGAAAUUGACCUUCCCGUGAAGAGGCGGGAAUAUGACAAUAAGACGAGAAGACCCUAUGGAGCUUUAAUUAACCGACCCAAAGAGAUCUUGAUAAUCAACCGACAGGGAUAACAUACCUCUACCAUGGGCGGACAAUUUAGGUGGGGUGACCUCGGAGAAUAAAACAACCUCCGAGUGAUUUUCGAGAGCUUUACUGUCUCUUGAUAUUGGUGUUUGGUGCGGUUUGUGUAGGAUAGGUGGGAGACUGGGAAGCCUUCACGCUAGUGGGUCGAGAGCUUUACUGUCUCUUACUUCYWAUCCGUGAAAUUGACCUUCCCGUGAAGAGGCGGGAAUUAUUGACAAUAAGACGAGAAGACCCUAUGGAGCUUUAAUUAACCGACCCAAAGAGAUCUUGAUAAUCAACCGACAGGGAUAACAUACCUCUACCAUGGGCCGACAAUUUAGGUUGGGGUGACCUCGGAGAAUAAAACAACCUCCGAGUGAUUUAAAUCUAGACUAACUAGUCGAAAGUACUACAUCACUUAUUGAUCCAAAAACUUGAUCAACGGAACAAGUUACCCUAGGGAUAACAGCGCAAGKCCUAUUUUAGAGUCCAUAUCGAAAAUAGGAUGGCUGGUGGAAGCGGUGUCGCUAAACGGAUAAAAGGUACCCCGGGGAUAACAGGCUUAUCUUGCCCAAGAGUCCAUAUCGACAAUAGGAAUCCUCGGAGGUUGUUUUAUUCUCCGAGGUCACCCCAACCUAAAUUGUCGGCCCAUGGUAGAGGUAUGUUAUCCCUGUCGGUUGAUUAUCAAGAUCUCUUUGGGUCGGUUAAUUAAAGCUCCAUAGGGUCUUCUCGUCUUAUUGUCAUAUUCCCGCCUCUUCACAGGAAGGUCAAUUUCACGGAUAUGAAGUAAGAGACAGUAAAGCCCCUCGA